rnacentral:rRNA from 1 species
CCCUUAGACACUCUAGGCGGCACGCGCGCUACAAUGGGUGGAAGAACGUGUUACUGCCUCCGAAAGGAGGGGUGAAUCACGAAUUCUUGCCCGUGAAUGGGAUAGUUUGUUGCAAUUUUCGGACUUGAACUAGGAAUCCCUUGUAAACAUGCUCAAGAAUAGCGUGUUGAAUACGUCCCUGCCGUUUGUACACACCGCCCGUCGUUUCUUCCGACUGAUACUCAUUGUUAGUUGCAAGGACCCUUUAUUGGGAAAUUGCUGCAAAUGCUUUGUAUUGGAGGAAGAAAAAGUCGUAACA